rnacentral:misc_RNA from 1 species
GUUCUUUUCAUUUGACAUAACUUGUUUUUGGUUUUGACCAAGGAUCCAUGGUCUACUAACCCAUCUAAGAAAGUAUUAGAACAGGAAUGACGGCUUCCUUAACCAUCUCCAUGCAUUAGCUUACCAUUUAAGAAGUGCAGUGUAUUUAACCCAAAUGUUUUACCAUCUCAACAUUCACUACUACCAGACAUGAACUGUCUGAUAGAUGAUUCCA